GGUCGACUGGUGUAGUGGUUAUCACGUCUGUCUUACAAUUUACACAUGUCUGGUGUAUAACACAUCACGAUAGUAGAUUAUAGGUACACAGAAGGUCGCAGGUUCGAUCCCUGCGUCGAUCA